CCUUCUCUGAAGAAACUCACAGGACAAGACAAUGUGUAGAACCUUUUAGUCAAACAGUACAGGCCUGGAGAAAUCAAAUUGCUUCUCCUGUCGUGUUCACCAUCUGAACCAAGUGUUUGUAAGGUUGCUGUUGACUUACUCCCAGUGUCCAGCUUUUUGGUGAGGAUAAUGUGAUCACCUAGGAGCUGUGAGUUUCCUGGAGAGGAGCACCAAAUCCACAGAUCAGGAUUAGCAAUAAAUGCAUGGAAAAAAGGACUUUCCUGAAAAAAGCAUGUGAAUGCUCUUAAUAUGUGAAUAGCUAAUGAAGAUCCUCUUAGCAGUCUCUGCACAUUCUUCAGCUGCAGGGUGUUGAAAUACAACUGUAAUUAAUUCAGGUGCAAGGCAGAUUGAGCGACUCAGCUACCCCAUGGAAUUUUUGGUGCAGCUUCCAGGUCAGCACCAGCGUCGCUCUACUUUAUAUAACUUAUUUUCUCCAGUGUUUCAAUUAGGGCUAUCAAUUAAUUGCAGUUAAAUCAAGCGACUACGCAAAACAA